GAUGAACGCUGGCGGCGUGCCUAAUACAUGCAAGUCGAGCGAACAGACGAGGAGCUUGCUCCUCUGACGUUAGCGGCGGACGGGUGAGUAACACGUGGAUAACCUACCUAUAAGACUGGGAUAACUUCGGGAAACCGGAGCUAAUACCGGAUAAUAUAUUGAACCGCAUGGUUCAAUAGUGAAAGACGGUUUUGCUGUCACUUAUAGAUGGAUCCGCGCCGCAUUAGCUAGUUGGUAAGGUAACGGCUUACCAAGGCAACGAUGCGUAGCCGACCUGAGAGGGUGAUCGGCCACACUGGAACUGAGACACGGUCCAGACUCCUAAGGGAGGCAGGAGUAGGGAAUCUUCCGGAAUGGGGGAAAGCUUGACGGAGCAACGCCGCGUGAGUGAUGAAGGUCUUCGGAUCGUAAAACUCUGUUAUUAGGGAAGAACAAAUGUGUAAGUAACUAUGCACGUCUUGACGGUACCUAAUCAGAAAGCCACGGCUAACUACGUG
rnacentral:rRNA from 1 species